rnacentral:rRNA from 1 species
GACAGAGGGUGCAAACGUUGUUCGGAAUUACUGGGCGUAAAGCGCGUGUAGGUGGCGAGGCAAGUCGGGUGUGAAAGCCCUGGGCUCAACCCAGGAAGUGCACUCGAUACUGCCUAGCUAGAGUCCCGGAGAGGUUGGUGGAACUCUCGGUGUAGAGGUGAAAUUCGUAGAUAUCGAGAAGAACACCGGUGGCGAAGGCGGCCAACUGGACGGUGACUGACACUGAGACGCGAAAGCGUGGGGAGACAAACAGGGAU